rnacentral:rRNA from 1 species
CGAGAAUAAGUCACGGCUAACUACGUGCCAGCAGCCGCGGUAAUACGUAGGUGACAAGCGUUAUCCGGAAUUACUGGGCGUAAAGCGCACGCAGGCGGCGCAUUAAGUCUGACGUGAAAUCUCCUGGCUUAACUGGGAGGGGUCGUUGGAGACUGAUGUGCUUGAGGCGAUGAGAGGGGUGUAGAAUUCCCGGUGUAGUGGUGGAAUGCGUAGAUAUCGGGAGGAAUACCAGUGGCGAAAGCGACACCCUGGCAUUAGCCUGACGCUCAUGUGCGAAGGCGUGGGGAGCGAACGGGAUUAGAUACCCCGGUAGUCCACGCGGUAAACGAUGAAUACUAGGUGUGGGUGGAGUGAAAUCCAUCUGUGCCGAAGCAAACGCGCUAAGUAUUCCGCCUGGGGAGUACGGCCGCAAGGCU